AUUAACAAAUACACACUACCACAUGUAAAAUAAACAUCUACUGUGUAGCAGAUGGAACUAUAUUCAACAACUUAUAAUAAACUGUAUUGGAAAAGAAUUUUUAAAAGAAGAUAGAUAAAUGCAUAUAUAUGUAUUACCAAAUCACUUGGCUUUGCACCUGAAACAAACAUACUCUUGUAAGUCAACUAAACUUCAGUUCAAAAUAAGGGAGUUCCCAUUGUGGUGCAGCGGAAACAAAUCUGACUAGGAACCUUGAGGUUGCAGGUUCAAUCCCUGGCCUUGCUUGGUGCAUUAAGGAUCCAGCGUUGUUGUGAGCUGUGGUGUAGGUCAAAGACACGGCUCAGAUCUGGUGUUGCUAUAGCUGUGUCAUAGGCUGGCAGCUGUAGCUCCAUUUGACCCCUAGCCUAGGAACCUCCAUGUGCCUCUAAUGCGGCCCUAAGAAAUAAAAAAAAAAUAAAUAAAUUAAAAAAAUUUAAAAAAUAAAAAAAAAUAAAAAAAUUAAAUGUGAAAUAUAAUGCAGAUAACCCUUACUUAGGUAGACAGAAACCUCUGGUGUAAUGACCAUCACUGUCUCUUACUUAUGUGAGUCAGUAGGUGACAUGCCCGUAUCAUUGUCCAGGUUCAGUAAAUCUCCACGUUUUUUAAAUCCACGAAAUGAGGAGAGAUUCAUAUGCAUAGAUUGGCAAGAUCAGAAUCCUAAAACAGAGACCACAACGAAUGGAACAGAACUAGGGCAUUCAUCAAUAGCAAGGUCAAGGCCGAGCCAGCUGCGAAGAUACAGGAUGGAGGAAAGCUGGCCCACGAGGACGAGGGUUCAUGUGCGUCACCCGCCCACACUCGCCUGCACCGUCUUUCCUACCCCCCAGUUCCGCUGCUUGUCCAAAUUCCAGGGGAGCACAGCCCCAGCCGUAGUCUCCAGCAAUCAGACUUGCUGCGGACACUCAGUAAACAGAAGCAACCACAGCGCAGGCAUGUGAUCUGCUGAAGGGUCUGCUCCAGUCCAGGCCAGGGUCUCCUCCUCUUCAUUUCUCUGGACCCUCAAAGGUCAGCCAGAACCAGAAAGGCCAGACACGAGAAGCCUUCAGAAGUCUCCAGUGUCCAAGUGGACAGCAGUCAGCCUGCCAGGCGUAGAAAGCAUCCCCAGAGCAUACAGGUAGCCUACAUUUAAUCAUGCAGCGGAUGCACGCCAGCUUGAAAAAUUGCUGCAGGCGUGACUUAUGUGAGCCAUCAGAGCCGACAGUCAGUUGCCCCUUUGCACUGCGUUCCUGCAAAUCCUCUUAAUCAACACUGCAAACACUCAGUGCGGUUCCCAUCUCCUGUCAUUCUAAUGCGUGCACCUGCUUUCCCGGGGGAUGGUGUGGCGGAACAGAAGGCCGGUGGGCUCGGAGGUCAGAUGGGCCCUGGUUUCAGAUUCCAGGCCCCCUGUGCUCCUGGGCCUGUACACAUCUGCUCUGUCACACUGAGCCAUUUUCUUUCCUGUAACCUGGGAAUGAGUCUGUCUCUAAAGGAUUCAGUGAAACCAGGAUAGAAAGAAUAAGGUAUACAGGUGGUGCUUAGUAAAUACUUCUAAUCUAUGAAAUGACUAGACGAGAGUCAUUGACCAUUGAGGAUUUUCCUCUUAGCCUCAGAUGCUAGUGUGGUGAGAUUCUGAUGAUGGGCGGGCACCAGGCAGUUGGCAAGCGCUCCCUGUCUCCUGACACGGCUCUGGGCCUCGCCCCGUGGGCCCUGUCUCCUCACAGGUGCCCCCACGACACGGGGGCGAUGCAGACUCCAAGCUGUGUGUCUCCGCCCCCAACGCGCUGCCCCCGAGGCAGGCGACCCCCUCCCGCUCCUGACUCCCUGUGAGGCUCAGACUAGUUUAAAUAAAGGCAGUACCGAUAGUGUCACUGCCAGGUACCAGGCUCCAUGCGGAGUAAUUACUGCCAGUGACCCCAUCUCUGUAUGGCCUCCCGGUUUUCCAGCUUUCAGGCCUCAUGUCUCCCUUUCACAGUGAAGGAAAGUGAAACUCAGAAAUGGAAUAAUUUGCUCUGGUUCACACAGCUGGUCAGCAGAGGCAGGGCUUCUAACCCAGAACAUUCUUAAUUUCUUAAAGCCGGUAAUUGUAGGUUGUGAGAUUUACCAAAGAAAAAAAGAAGGAGAAAGAAAAGAUAGUCUGUGGUAAUUCCCCCCGAAGUGGGGUUACUUGGCUCCCGUGGAGGAAGAAAGAACGCUGCAGAAGAGCCUGGGAAAAAUGAAGCUGCGGCCCUUCUGUGAGCCAGUUCUUUACUGGCAGUGUCUUGGCACAAAACCAAUGAUAGCAGAGUUUUCUGUUUUAAUAGGAGCUGCGGUGACUUUUUUCUUUAAUGCUUUCAUCUCUCUCCCCCACCUCUUUCUGGGUGAUUCCCAGCCCCUGCCCGGCUGACGGGGCGGCCGUGCGGCUUCAGUCCCCAGGGCCACCAGCCUCUGCCCCAGCGGGAGGCCCGCAGGAGGAGGUGGCGGCUGGCAGGCCGGGUGUGGGGGUCUGUGUGUUGGGGGGGUCUGACGGCCCUGGAAAGACCCGAACCUUGCUCUUCUUUCUGUUUUCCCUUCUGAGGCCGCUGGACCCGCCCCGCCCGCCCGCCCGCCCGCGUCCCCGUCCCCCGGCGCUUGCAUUUGCGGACAGAGCUGUGCUAAUAUUUCUCUUUUCUCCAGGCAGGAAAUGAGCAAGUCAUUUUUUAGGGCCAUUCAGGAAGUCGUCUGCAGUUACAAUGGCCCAUUAUCUAAUGGCCAGAGUUUACUUAGGCUUUCACUACUUCCACGGCCCUCUUGAAACAAGGAAAAGUAGCCCCCACGCCAGGCGCCCUGGGACCCGGCGAGCUCCCUGCCAGACUCCAAGCCCAGGAGCUGCCUGCUGCCCUGUGCCUCGCUGCAGGCCGACACUACCUGGAAUUCAUUUCUAGAAGUUCCUCGUUAUUUUCUCAGCCUGCGCUCUGAACACUGUGCUCACGACCCCUUGUCUGGACCCAUCGUUGCUUAGGGACUUGAGAAGCAAGCAGCAGCAGUGGCACUUACUAUACAUGCACAUUCCCAGGCCUGCCAAGCCAGACGCUAGGAGGGUGGGUGGCUGGUUAGGUAUCCAAAGGGCAGAUCUCUCGCUAGAAAUGAAAGAUGGUUUGCACCUGAAUCGUGUGAAACGUUUCAAGUGUGUGACACGGUGUGUCUUACUGGUGCCAAAGAUGCAUGGUUCUUAGUAGGAGUGUCCCUGGAGAUCUGACUCUGAGGGCUGAGGCAGAGAGCGGCAUUUUCUUAGCUGCCCUCUGUGCCAGGCCAAGGACCUGGAUGCUCCCCUUCCGGCGCACAGACUCGUGCACCCAGUUGAGACCCAGCCGGUGGCCCAUGCGCUCAUCCAGGCUGUGGAAGGCCUGGCCAUGAGUCAAGGCUUCUGGGACCUUGCAGGGGAGCAGUGAGCAUCCAGUGCCCCGUGUGUCACAGGCCCCAGAGGGGUGCUGGAUGUCUGAGAUGGGCUCGCAGCGGAGGCGAGGCGUGAACACAGCCAUGUCCUUUCUCCACUGCUGGAUGCUGUAGGGAGCAGAGCAGUAACGUGCUCCCUCUCCCGUGACCUUGGUGUCCGCCCGCCCCGCUAACACUGGGGCCUCUGCCCUCUGGGUGAACAGUCCCACAAAGCCCACGGUCCCAGCAGGAAAGGGCCCUGGCCCCUGACUCUGCCCUCUGCCCGGGACCCUGCCCUGCUCUGAAGGUGGCAUCCAUCAGGCCAGGCCCCGCUGGCACAAAGGACCCCAGGAAAGAGCCUGCAGUCCAGUCUUCAGACCCGCUCAGCCGGAGCCGGGAAUGCUGUGAGGACGACUUCGCGAGUCAGAACACGGUGGCUUCAGAGAGGUUUGUCGCCCUCAGAUGGGCCUUCCCUGCAUGGAGCCCCGGCCACACUGCUGGUUCUCAGAUCUCGCGGGGGUGAUUGCAGAGCAGUGUUAAAGCCGGCUGCCAGGCAUCUGCACCUGCAAGUUAAAUGCUUGCUGGUGGCGUUGUUAAGGGGAUGGUGCAUCGCAGCACAAAUUACAGGGGUGCCUGGGCGGCCACCUGCACGGUCACUCUGGGCCUGUGACGAGCUGGGGCGGCGGCCCUGCCUCUCAGCCCUGAUGCAGCCUCCGCCAUUCUGCUGAGGUUAUUAGCCCCACCUUUUAAAUGCUGACACUGUUUUCUUUCUGGAAUGCAAGGCCUCUGCCGAUUCAACUAAAACCCUGUCUCACUCCGCCCCUUUGAAUGUGGAACCAAAAGCCCCCACCUGCUCGCCCUCCCGCCCUCCCGGCGCCCCUCGGCCUCCUGUGGGCCCCUCCUCCUCCACGUCCUCCCUUGUUUUUAUCUGUCUCCGCUGAUGUGUGCAGCUGUUUUUCAGUUACCUGAGGUGAAAGUACCCCCUCUUUGUAAGAAGCUCAGUGGCUGCAGAAGCCUCUCAGACUUUCCUAGAUCUGCUGUGUUUUACACACGAGCAUGUGCAGAGAUAAAAAUAGUUUAGGUUUUGUUUAUAUUUUUAUACAAUGAGUUUGUGUCAUGCAAACUGUUUGCCACUUGCUCUUCUUUUUUUUUAAGCUUCACUCUACUUGAGAGCUGCCAAAUUGCAGCAUGUGUGACGCAGCCUGGUCUGUGAAAUUGUGUGGCUGCCGGUAGGCGUUGGCAUUGCCCUGGGUCAUCCGCAGAGCUGCCAGGGCUGCAGUGAACCUGUUCACACACUUUUCUGGGCACCCAGGAAGGGGUUUUCCAGAAGAGAACUGGAAAGGGAGGACCAGGCAAUGGGCUUUUCAGUAAACUUUUAAAAUUUCCGUUCUACCCAGCAGUCGUGAUACACGCCCUGAGCCCGGGUCAUCACCAUCAAUCGUUACUCUUCCCUUUGUGAAGCAGUUGAAAGCCAGUCGUGCCACAGCCAGAAAUGAUGUCCCGUCACCACCCCGUCCUUCAUGAUGCACCAUAGAGCCAUGAAUUUUUCUUCUGCCGUCGCAGUGCCAUCCUCUCUCCUAAAACAUUAACCACAAAUAUUUUGUCAUCCGGUGACCAGUCUCCCUGAUGUCUCCCUGAUUGCCUCAAAUAUGUCUUUUAACCAGUGGUUUGUUGGAAGCAUGAUACGAAAAUUAGGCCCACACCUCACCUUUUAUUGUCAUGUCUGAUUAUCAGCUGAGAGCAGCCCCCUUCCCAUGGGGUGUGUGUGUGUGUGUGUGUGUGUGUGUGUGUGUGACCCGUGGAAGCUGGUGGGUCUCCAUCUGUCUGGAAUUCCAGUUGUAGCUCAUUGGGUUAAGAACCCGACUAGUAGCCACAAGGAUGCGGGUUUGAUCCCUGGUCUCACUUGGUUGGUUAAACAUCUGUCAUUGCUGCAAGCUGCGGUGUAGGGUGCAUAUGUGGCUUGCACCAGUGUUUCUGUAGCUAUGGUGUAGGCCUGCAGCUGCAGCUCCGAUUCCACCUCUAGCCUGGGAACUUC
rnacentral:lncRNA from 1 species